rnacentral:tRNA from 1 species
GUGUGCAUGAUCCUGCCUGGUGGUGGGUGCAGGCUUCAAACCUGUGGACGGCUAGCGCCGUAGUUGUUCGAUGCAACCUUGCGCAC